CAACUACUCCCUCUGUUCCAAAUUUCUUGUCUUAGAUUUGUCUAGAUACGGAUGUAUCUAAUACUAAAAUGUGACUUGAUACAUCCGUAUCUAGACAAAUCUAAGACAAGAAUUUUGGGACGGAGGGAGUACUUU
rfam:Triticum aestivum genome assembly, contig: Triticum_aestivum_CS42_TGACv1_scaffold_146559_2BS